UUACGGGGCGCUGCAGUGGGGAAUAUUGGACAAUGGGCGCAAGCCUGAUCCAGCCAUGCCGCGUGUGUGAAGAAGGCCUUUUGGUUGUAAAGCACUUUAAGCGAGGAGGAGGCUUACCUGGUUAAUACCUGGGAUAAGUGGACGUUACUCGCAGAAUAAGCACCGGCUAACUCUGUGCCAGCAGCCGCGGUAAUACAGAGGGUGCGAGCGUUAAUCGGAAUUACUGGGCGUAAAGCGCGCGUAGGCGGUUUGUUAAGUCGGAUGUGAAAUCCCCGGGCUCAACCUGGGAAUUGCAUUCGAUACUGGCAAGCUAGAGUAUGGGAGAGGAAGGUAGAAUUCCAGGUGUAGCGGUGAAAUGUGUAGAGAUCUGGAGGAAUACCGAUGGCGAAGGCAGCCUUCUGGCCUAAUACUGACGCUGAGGUGCGAAAGCAUGGGGAGCAAACAGGAUUAGAUACCCUCGUAGUC
rnacentral:rRNA from 1 species